rnacentral:tRNA from 1 species
GUUGGUGUAGCUCAGUGGUUGAGCGCAUGCUUUGUGUGUAUGAUGUCCUGGGUUCAAUGUCCAGCUUCACUG